CAGAGGGAAAAUAAAAAAGUUCCCAAAAGGCUGUUUUUGGAGGAGUUCUGCUGGAUGUCCAAGUUACCGUCUCCUCCGCUUUCAAUCGAGAGAAUCUUCUCCCCUUCACUACCACUAAUUUCGUCUGGUGUGGAGGUCACUGAUCUCAUUCAUCACUCCCUGACAUCAUCCUCGAGGGCUGACCGUCUUAUCUCGCUGACACGUCGGGCGGCCCAGGACGAGACGCAACUCGCCUCGGAGGGAAGCUCCCCUUUUGGAUUUCUUUACCGGUGAGAGUGGGAGGAAAUGAAGAGAAAAGUUUGUUCGGGGGAAUAUCUUUGUGCCCGGAGGGAAGCUACGUGAGCCUGCUGUGACUUUGAGAAGAUCAACUCAAAGAUGGGAGUGUCUUGCGAAAGAACAAAGUGGGAUGCCUCGGCUUUGCAAACUUCCCGUUUUACAUUUUUGAUGCUUGUGCAAUAUGGAGGAAUGAAGUCAACAAGUCUUUCUCUACGUGCAUUCUGGCAUGUUGAUGUUCUCCGGCGGGAUCUUUUUAUUUAAGUGUGUGUUGAAAGACAAACUGUCAGUCACGAUGAUGGAACACGCCCAAGCCCUCAUGUGAGGACAACCGACUGUGUGUUAUUUGCCAUGGCCGGGUGGGAAAAAAAAGAACAACAAAAGACGGACGAGGGGGGCUGAGUGACAGGAUGCGGCACCUUUUUCCCCCCUGCAGACCUGCAAUGUGAUCUCAACAUGAACUACCUGCUAUCAGUUCCAAACAUUUUGAGUGACAUAAUGGAGAGAUUCUUCAACAAGUUCCAUCUGGCAGCUCAGGGAGCCGUUGAGCAUCUUCCAUGUCAGGAGAUGGAAAUAAAUUAUAUGAUUGAUUCUUUCGGUUCAGAUGAGAUAAGAGUGCACGUUCAAAAUGGGAAUUCCAAUCAUUCGUACUUCAUUCGCUCAGCUUUUCGUUAAAUCCAAACAACUGCCUCCAAUUUAAAGGUUACCGUAAUUUUCGGACUAUAAGUCGCGUUUUUUUUUCAUAGUUUGGGUGGGGGGGGCGACUUAUACUCAGGUGCGACUUAUAUACAUAUAUAUGUUUUUUUUUUUCACUUUUUUGGGCUUUUUAUGGCUGGUGCGACUUAACUCCGGUGCGACUUAUAGUCCGAAAAUUACGGUAAUCAUCUUUGAACUUUUUGCAAAGGACGCCAUUGUCAGUUCCACAAAGGAUAAAUCCUCCGUGUGCACACGGACUCACUUCUGUUUACUCAUCGCAUUCAGAAUUCAGUCCUGUUUAUGUUAGGUCAGGUGUGUUUCUUUCUCCACUUUGUAUGAAGCUGCCCUUGAACUUACCGAAGACGUUCGGCGGUACAACUACCACCCAACCUUUUGGAGAUACCAGCUCCUGCAAAAGUAAUAUUUCUAGUUAUAUUUUCAAAGGUCAAUUUCCCAUCAUAUGUCGGCUUUGACAAAAAACCUUCCACGAUAGUU